UCGCAGUGCACAUGCAGGGAGCUUGCUCCCAGGAUGCUGCGUGGAAAGUCCCCGUGCCCGAGGGCAGAGAGUGCCAGCGGGAGACCGCGUGGCGCCGGUCACGACGCGUGCAGUGAGACCAUCGGUGGAGCUGCCGUGCCGUGUCGGGGCCAUUCGCAUCAGCACAGCUAUGUCGUGAGUGCCCAACCGAGGGCACCAACUGAACGGGGCUCACUCUCC
rnacentral:RNase_MRP_RNA from 13 species